rnacentral:misc_RNA from 1 species
GAUGAAGAACGUAGCGAAAUGCGAUAAGUAAUGUGAAUUGCAGAAUUCAGUGAAUCAUCGAAUCUUUGAACGCACAUUGCGCCCGCCAGUAUUCUGGCGGGCAUGCCUGUUCGAGCGUCAUUUCAACCAUCAAGCCCCAGGCUUGUGUUGGGGACCUGCGGCUGCCGCAGGCCCUGAAAACCAGUGGCGGGCUCGCUGUCACACCGGGCGUAGUAGAUUUUAUCUCGCUCAGGGCGUGCUGCGGGUUCCGGCCGUUAAAAAGCCUUUUUUACCCAAGGUUGACCUCGGAUCAGGUAGGAAGACCCGCUGAACUUAAGCAUAACAAUAAGCGGAGGA